rnacentral:lncRNA from 1 species
UUCUCUUUGGGAUCAUUUUCCAAUUGAAAUUUUCCUCUAAUUCACAAACAAUUUGCCUACAUCUUAAAUCUAAGAUCUGCGAUUUACUGUAGCAUCAGUUUUUUUUGGCUUUAAACAUUCGAUCGCUACCAUGUUUGUGAUCGAUUGCGGCUGAUGUAUAAAGCAUCGAUGGAAGAUGCGUACUCUCCCCAGCUUUGUGAUGUGGGAGAGGAUCCUCAAAACAAAACUGCAAAUCAAUCCUGU